rnacentral:lncRNA from 1 species
GUUGUUGUCUGUUUUUGCGGAUACAGUUACGACACCUGAUUCACCCGUUUUAAAAGUAAGAAGAAGGAGAAGACAUAACAAAACGAACAUUUGCAUUGGACGGGAUAUUACGUGCAAGCGGCUCGAUAAGAUGGCAAUUGCAUUCAACUGUAGUGGAGUAUGUUUUAGGAAAUGGAGUUUGAAUUUUCGCUGCUUUUUUGUUCAGAACUAGAAUAUUCAUUGCUUCACUACAUGUGUCGCUACCUUCAAACUCGCUAAAGAUUGUAAUUUUGUAGUAUCCCUUACUUACAAA